rnacentral:rRNA from 1 species
UACGUAGGGUGCAAGCGUUAAUCGGAAUUACUGGGCGUAAAGCGUGCGCAGGCGGUUCUAUAAGACAGAUGUGAAAUCCCCGGGCUCAACCUGGGAACUGCAUUUGUGACUGUAGAGCUGGAGUGCGGCAGAGGGGGAUGGAAUUCCGCGUGUAGCAGUGAAAUGCGUAGAUAUGCGGAGGAACACCGAUGGCGAAGGCAAUCCCCUGGGCCUGCACUGACGCUGAGGAGCGAAAGCAUGGGGAGCGAACAGG